GGAAUUGGAGUGUGUUUGAACACAUUCAUACUAAUAAAAGAAAUCGGUUGGAGCAUCAAAAACUUAAUGAUCUUGUUUUUGUUCGUUACAACUUGAGGCUACAACAAAGGUAUUGUCAUUUUAUUACAUUAGUUGUCUUUCUUUAUAUAUUCAUAUGUAACAUGUAUUUAUGUUUGUAUAUAAUGAAAUCAAUAAAUGUAGGAGUCACUUGAGGCAUCAAAACUAUGACCCAAUAAAUUUAGAAAUAUUUGAGGAUCAUUCUCAUUUUAUACUAGAGGAGUCACCACCGUUCCUAACCGUUGAAGAGAUUGAGGCUUUACGAAAUGACCUUGCAAAUAUUUCUAUCCAACCAUCACUUGAUGACAAUGAUCAAUUAAACUUAGAAGACGAUGAUGAUGCACAACU